ACCAAGGUUUUUUUAGAAACCAUAGUAUUUUUUAAAACUACAAAAAU
rfam:Triticum urartu cultivar G1812 contig1119461, whole genome shotgun sequence.